rnacentral:snRNA from 1 species
UUGCUUUGGCAGCACAUAUACUAUAAUUGGAACAAUACAGAGAUUAAUAUGGCCCCUGCACAAGGCUGACACGCAAAUUCAUGAAGUGUUCCAUAUUUUU